UACGUAGGGUGCGAGCGUUGUCCGGAAUUACUGGGCGUAAAGAGCUCGUAGGUGGUUUGUCGCGUUGUUCGUGAAAACCGGGGGCUUAACCCUCGGCGUGCGGGCGAUACGGGCAGACUUGAGUACUGCAGGGGAGACUGGAAUUCCUGGUGUAGCGGUGGAAUGCGCAGAUAUCGGAAGGAACAUCAGUGGCGAAAGCGACUUCCUGGACCAAUACUGACGCUCAUGUGCGAAAGCGUGGGGAGCAAACAGG
rnacentral:rRNA from 1 species